AAGUACGAGCGGAGGCGAGGGUGGCUUGUCGACCUUACGUCUUAGUCGGCGGACGGGUGGAGUAAGUUAGCUUAGGUAAGUACUGCCUAUUAGUGGGGGACAACAUUCCGAAAGGAAUGCUAAUACCGCAUACGCCCUACGGGGGAAAGCAGGGGGUCUUCGGACCUUGCGCUAAUAGAUGAGCCUAAGUCAGAUUAGCUAGUUGGUGGGGUAAAGGCCUACCAAGGCGACGAUCUGUAGCGGGUCUGAGAGGAUGAUCCGCCACACUGGGACUGAGACACGGCCCAGACUCCUACGGGAGGCAGCAGUGGGGAAUAUUGGACAAUGGGCGCAAGCCUGAUCCAGCCAUGCCGCGUGUGUGAAGAAGGCCUUUUGGUUGUAAAGCACUUUAAGCGAGGAGGAGGCUACUUGGAUUAAUACUCUGGGAUAGUGGACGUUACUCGCAGAAUAAGCACCGGCUAACUCUGUG
rnacentral:rRNA from 1 species